rnacentral:rRNA from 1 species
AGUGAACGCUGGCGGUAGGCCUAACACAUGCAAGUCGAACGGCAGCACAGUAAGAGCUUGCUCUUACGGGUGGCGAGUGGCGGACGGGUGAGGAAUACAUCGGCAUCUACUUUUUCGUGGGGGAUAACGUAGGGAAAAUUACGCUAAUACCGCAUACGACCUACGGGUGAAAGCAGGGGAUCUUCGUACCUUUCGCGAUUGAAUGAGCCGAUGUCGGAUUAGCUAGUUGGCGGGGUAAAGGCCCACAAAGGCGACGAUCAGUAGCUGGUCUGAGAGGAUGAUCAGCCAAACUGGAACUGAGACACGGUCCAGACUCCUACGGGAGGCAGCAGUGGGGAAUAUUGGACAAUGGGCGCAAGCCUGAUCCAGCCAUACCGCGUGGGUGAAGAAGGCCUUCGGGUGGUAAAGCCCUUUUGUUGGGAAAGAAAAGCAGCAGGUUAAUACCCCGCUGUUCUGACGGUACCCAAAGAAUAAGCACCGGCUAACUUCGUG